rnacentral:tRNA from 1 species
GAAUAUGAAGCAAUAAAUUGCAUUUAGUUUCGACCUAAAUAUAGGUAUAUUUACCCUUAUUCU